UGGAAAUAAUGAAACAAACAAACAAAUAGUAAUUAAAUUAAACAGUACAAUGCAGAAGGGAGUAGACAAGUGGCUGUCUCAUAUUUGGGUCCAGGGUCCUUAGAAGAGUGUGUGUGUGUGUGUGUGUGUGUGUGUGUGGAAUAGAUGCACUGAGCUAUUUCUGAUCUCCAU